ensembl:lncRNA
GUGAGCUCAGCCGGGUGUGGGGGAAGAGCCAGGGUGGUAUCCCGCACCCCAGCGCAAGGCGGAGCAGGGCCGACGGCCUGGGCAGCGCCAAUGGCCAGCGCGCGGGUCCGGGCAGGCUAGCGGGAAGGCGCCGCUCGCCGCGCCGGGUCACGUGGCGCGGUCACGUGGCGCGCAGCCGGACCGGCGGCGGCCGAGGGAGGCGGAGACUUGCCAGAGACGCGGGGGGAGGAGGCGGCGGCGCGGGGCUGCUGGAGGCGGAGGCGGAGAGGAGAGGAGAGCUGCGGGGCCGCUGCCACGGCCGCCCAGGAGUUCGUAGAGGUUGGCUGGCUCUGAGGCUGGGAUGGCAAACACGCAUCGCGGAGGAAAAACAACAUUACAGUCACAAGGCACCAAAGGUUAAGUUCUUGAGGGUGCAGAUAUCUGCGGAAGCUCCAUAAUCACACUGUGAACAGGCAAGAAUACAAGAAAGGGUGGGAAAGGCAACAAGACUGACCUGCUGGCCACCUUAGUCCCCAUUAAAGGUCCUUCUUGGAAGGAACAACUCCAGUUACAUUUCAUGUCAGACUGAACCACAGAUGAGGCUGGAAAAUGAAUGUUUCAUCUGUGCAUUUUGCUACCCCAAUUAAAACUGUGGUAAUAUUGGUGUAGAAGAAUGAGAGAGUGGAUGUUGGGUAGAGGGCUGGUGAUCUCA